UCGACCUCGCACGUUCUUCAACGCGACGAAAGUGUCGCGGGCUUGCACGCAUACGUUCAAUCGUUCGUACUACAGACGCCUGACAAUGAAAAAUAUAAUGAAACCCCGAGAGAAAAAAGAAAUAUAUCGCAGAAGCACUCUAGCUAGAUAAUUCACGGGAUAAUCGCCAGCGUGAUAGCGAUUUCGAUCGUUUGCCUUCGAUAGUUUAUUAGUUCGUGGCACUGCAGUUGGCGCAGCGUUUCCGGUCGGCAAAGUGGUACCCAGUGCACCGUAGAAAAUCAGUCGUUGAUAUAUACAUAUACACAAAUGGUCAGUCACAUUGCGAGUAACAUAGAGUGUGUAGAGUAGAGGUGUGUGUGUGUGUGUGUGUGUGUGUGUGUGUAAGCGUAGUCGUAACGUAGGGAGCGCAGACUAGCUUAGGUAUGUCAUUCUUCAGUUCUCUCGCGGAUCCUGGGGUCGGAGUAUCUCUCUCUCUCUGAGAUCGAAGUCAGGAUCCAGGAUAUUCGUAUCACGAAUCAGCGCUUAACACACAUGUUCACUUAACCAGCCGUUUGGUUCUAUCAUUUGUUCAGGACCAAUUAUCACGAACGAUUAAAUACGUCGAUAGCAUGUUCGAAUCGUGUUGUCAUUGCAGCAUUGUCACUACAAAAAAGAAAAAAAAAAAAAACGGGAACUUUGACGAGGGAGAUGGAGAGGUUCGCUGUUUUAAGAGAAGAACGGCAUCGAUCGACAAACUACGGCGAGCGCCUGUACGCACGAGGAACGAAUGUCGUCCCUUCCUUUAUUUUCGUUCGAGGUGUAUCUUAUGUGUAUCUUACCUACGCGUUUCACUCUACAAAUCGAGAAAUUCCGCCUGAGAUUAUAAGUUCGUCGAAAUUAUAAACAGAUUGAAAUACAUCGUUAGUUUUUAACUCGCUUCUUCGAGCAUCUCUUUAUUCGCUCAUCCAGUGGACCUAUGCGCGACGUAAAGAACGUAAAAAAAGAGAAAGCAAAUCUGAGAACGUGAACUCUCGAUUCUUUUUUUUUUUUUUUCCGUAUAAAUCUGUCCCACUUUUUUAACGAACGUUCAGCAAGCUCAUCCGAUCGUGUUUCCUCCAUCAUAUACUCAUCAUCAAAUUACGAAAACCGCGAUAGUCGACGAGCAUCGAGUGAAAUUUACGCCGGUGAAACGGCGAUGCUUUUAUUAUUAUAUAUAUCGAGUCGCGAUCACGGUGGAGAGCUACGGAUGACAAAAUCCGCGGUAACGCGCACGCGAGCGACAAUGAAAACUUGCCGCAAUCAUCUUCCGAGACGGAAGUGCCGUACCGUUUUAUGACUAUUAUCCGUGCUUGUUACCAAUCGUGUCCACGUAACGUCUAAAUAGUGCCUUUCAUUGCUUUCGAAAUGAUUUCCGUGGGUCGCGCCACUGACGUAUGACAAUCGAUCGAUGUCGUCGUUCUCGAUAUGACUUUGAAAAUAGGGAAAUGGGAGAAACGUCGAAUCGUUAGUAGAUAAAAGAAAGGAAUAACGAUCGAUCGUGACGGAUAACGAGCAAAGAGAUCGAUCGCGGCCGUGGUCGCAGGAAGUAACGAUAUAAUGUUACUGUCGAUACUAAUAAGUAUUAAUUUAAAAAGGAACAAACACGGAACGCGUAGUGAUUCAGUCGAGUAGAUCCGUGUGAACGUGCGACGAUACACGUAGGAAAAAAAUAUACACGACGGAAAACAUUCGAAUCGAUGAGAAGUUGGCAAUUGAUCCGAGCAGGCUCAUGAUUGUGCACGUUAACGAGAACCGAACCAGUGUUGAAACUCUGAAAUCCUUUCGUGCUGAUUCUUUCAUUAGUUUCUGCGAAUGGGGAACUUUUGCUUAAUCGAACGAUACUUUCGAUCAAACUCUUCUCUCUUUUCAUUGUCAGUCGAACAGUUGACAAAAAUUGGAUUAAUUCUUCAGACAGUAUGAUGAUUUUACAAUAUUCAACACUGCGCUUAGCGAUUGGAGCACGCUCGAAGGCAUUUGGCGAAGGCAUUGAGAAAAAAAAAAAGAAACGGAUACGUGCGAGCGUACAAUACAUGUGCCUAAGACCUCGAUGCCUGUGCUUUUUUUACGAAAAUGUAUGACUACGUUACGUAGUAAUCAUAAAACGGUACACUCAAAGUUCGCAACUCUGAUCAUUCCGUUUUUUAAACAAUUGUGUUUUGUAUCACUCCUCAGUCUUUCUGUGCCAUUUCGUUGGAAACCAACUCGUUCGUUUGCAUUUUAUUUCGUAUCUUGAUCCCUUUUCUUUGCAUCUUCAAUGUCUACGUAUCGUAUGUAAACGUGGCACCAAUCAUCAAUGAUCAUCGGUAGCACUCGCGAGUCAUCGGAAUCACGUGUCACAUGAUCGUAGAUCGUUCGUUUUCUCUCCUUGUACAUUCAUAAAAGGCGAUUAAAAGAAGAUCGAAGAUCUUGAACGAUAAAUGAUCGCGCCGGUCUUUCGAGCAUGAUCGUUUCCGAGCAGUUUACAGAGUAACGUGCUCUUCAAGUCCUUCGAAUUUCCCGCGUAGUAGCGGAUCGUCGAUCCGAUCAACAAACGUACCGAUUGUCAUGUUAGUGCAGUACAUAAUGAUUGUCCAAAUGACAUAGUAAAUCGAUAUGAUGUACGUCGGUAGGAAAGAACAAUGAUGUAAAUAAAGAGAGAGAGAGAGAGAGAGAGGAGAAAGAGAAAAUACAAUGAAUCUUUGUAAAGCCUUAAUUUAGUCUUCUAGUUAAAGUACUGGUUUUAUCUCUUACUUUUCUUCUUACUUUUUUUGCAUUUAAUUUCUUCGCGAGUAGAACGAUGCCACAGCAGAAUGAAUGAAUAGCCAGAGAAUUGAAAGACCAAAGGAGAAAAGAGAAAGAGAGUACACGCAAUUCUUUCGAGAUUUUCAAAUUCCUUUUCGGAUAACGCACGAGUCCCUUUCACCGUGAUUCGUCACUAAAAUUAAUAGAAGAAGGAAAGAAAGGAGAGAAAAAAAGGAACAAAGAGAAAUGUAGUUAGGUUUAUUUAGUAACGACGAUGCAAUGAGUUUCCUCAAUAUUUUUCGGACGGUUUUCAAAAAGACAUACUCAGUAGUAGUUAGAGAAUUAUACUUUAGAGAUAGCGAAAAGGAUUACACUCUAUAUAUAUAUAUAUAUACAUAUAAUUCGUAAUGUUUUUCCAUUCAACAAUAUACCGAUCGACAUCAACGAAGAAUCAUUCAUUCAACUAUUUACUAUCACGUGUUCGAGAUUCGAGGUUUUUCGUAAUACGUAACUGUAACAAUAAUCGCGUUUCGAACGGAAGAGACAUCACGAGGAAGAGAGAAAGGGAUACGAACAGAGAAUGCGUUAAACGUCGCAGAGGAAUUGCUGCGUUCCAAAAGACUUUGCAACUUCGAAUCGCUUCGCGCCAUUUAAGUGAAA